rnacentral:rRNA from 1 species
AUUGAACGCUGGCGGCAGGCCUAACACAUGCAAGUCGAACGGUAGCACAGAGAGCUUGCUCUCGGGUGACGAGUGGCGGACGGGUGAGUAAUGUCUGGGAAACUGCCCGAUGGAGGGGGAUAACUACUGGAAACGGUAGCUAAUACCGCAUAACGUCGCAAGACCAAAGUGGGGGACCUUCGGGCCUCACACCAUCGGAUGUGCCCAGAUGGGAUUAGCUAGUAGGUGGGGUAAUGGCUCACCUAGGCGACGAUCCCUAGCUGGUCUGAGAGGAUGACCGGCCAUACUGGAACUGAGACACGGUCCAGACUCCUACGGGAGGCAGCAGUGGGGAAUAUUGCACAAUGGGCGCAAGCCUGAUGCAGCCAUGCCGCGUGUAUGAAGAAGGCCUUCGGGUUGUAAAGUACUUUCAGCGGGGAGGAAGGCGGUGAAGUUAAUAACUUCACCGAUUGACGUUACCCGCAGAAGAAGCACCGGCUAACUCCGUGCCAGCCGCCGCGGUAA